GAUGAACGCUGGCGGCGUGCUUAACACAUGCAAGUCGAACGAAGCUCUUCUGCCAGAUCCCUUCGGGGUGAAGAUAGAGGAUGACUGAGUGGCGGACGGGUGAGUAACGCGUGGGUAACCUGCCCUAUACAGGGGGAUAGCAGUUGGAAACGACUGAUAAUACCGCAUAAGCGCACGAUAUCGCAUGAUAUAGUGUGAAAAACUCCGGUGGUAUAGGAUGGACCCGCGUCUGAUUAGCUAGUUGGUGAGGUAACGGCUCACCAAGGCGACGAUCAGUAGCCGACCUGAGAGGGUGACCGGCCACAUUGGGACUGAGACACGGCCCAAACUCC
rnacentral:rRNA from 1 species